CUGGGAAAACAGCCUGCAGAAAAACGCUUUGCAGCCGGGCCGACUACAACGCAGUGGCCGGAAGUCUCCUCUCACGUACUUCCGGCCUGCGUCCGGAGGGGAUGGGAGACCGUCGCCGCUGGCUCCGCCCACCGCGUGGUCCAAGGACCACCACCCCCCACCGCCGCGCGAGCGUACUAUUGCGGCCGCCCUCUGCUGUGCCUGAAGACAGAAGCGACUCUACAAGCCUCACAGCAUGCACUGUUACUAAAAAGACGAUGCGUCCUCCUGGAGCUGAGAUCUGUGUGAUCGUGGGAAAGCGACGAAAAACGAACAAAGGAACAGUAAAUGGAGUAACUUGGCUAGAAUAUGGCAGUAACUACAAGGCAUGUUCUGCUCUGGCACGAAGACAACCCACCUGAGGCACCAGACACAUGAGUGAAGCCAUCUUGGACAUCCCAGUCACAGCCAAACUCACUCCUGAGUGCAUCUGCAUGAUGAACCCAGCAAUCCCCACCAUGGAGCAAAGGAUCCAUCCAGUCAACCCAAAGAAUCGUGAAAAAUAAUAAAUUGUUGUUUUAAAGUU